rnacentral:rRNA from 1 species
GUGCCAGCAGCCGCGGUAAUACGUAGGUCCCGAGCGUUGUCCGGAUUUAUUGGGCGUAAAGCGAGCGCAGGUGGUUUAAUAAGUCUGAUGUAAAAGGCAGUGGCUCAACCAUUGUGUGCAUUGGAAACUGUUAGACUUGAGUGCAGUAGAGGAGAGUGGAAUUCCAUGUGUAGCGGUGAAAUGCGUAGAUAUAUGGAGGAACACCGGUGGCGAAAGCGGCUCUCUGGACUGUAACUGACACUGAGGCUCGAAAGCGUGGGUAGCAAACAGGAUUAGAUACCCUGGUAGUCCACGCCGUAAACGAUGAGUGCUAGUUGUUUGGGGCUAUCCAGCCCUAAGUGACGCAGCAAACGCAUUAAGCACUCCGCCUGGGGAGUACGACCGCAAGGUUGAAACUCAAAGGAAUUGACGGGGGCCCGCACAAGCGGUGGAGCAUGUGGUUUAAUUCGAAGCAACGCGAAGAACCUUACCAGGUCUUGACAUACCAGUGCUAUUCUUAGAGAUAAGAAGUUACUUCGGUACACUGGAUACCGGUGGUGCAUGGUUGUCGUCAGCUCGUGUCGUGAGAUGUUGGGUUAAGUCCCGCAACGAGCGCAACCCCUAUUGUUAGUUGCCAUCAUUAAGUUGGGCACUCUAGCGAGACUGCCGGUAAUAAACCGGAGGAAGGUGGGGAUGACGUCAAAUCAUCAUGCCCCUUAUGACCUGGGCUACACACGUGCUACAAUGGUUGGUACAACGAGUCGCAAGCUAGUGAUAGCAAGCUAAUCUCUUAAAGCCAAUCUCAGUUCGGAUUGUAGGCUGCAACUCGCCUACAUGAAGUCGGAAUCGCUAGUAAUCGCGGAUCAGCACGCCGCGGUGAAUACGUUCCCGGGCCUUGUACACACCGCCCGU